rnacentral:rRNA from 1 species
CAGCAGCCGCGGUAACACCGAGGGUGCAAGCGUUAAUCGGAUUUACUGGGCGUAAAGGGCGCGUAGGUGGUUAUGUAAGUGAGAUGUGAAAUCCCCGGGCUCAACCUGGGGACUGCAUUUGAUACGUACGGACUUGAGUGGAGAAGAGGGUCGUGGAAUUUCCAGUGUAGAGGUGAAAUUCGUAGAUAUUGGAAAGAACACCAGUGGCGAAGGCGGCGACCUGGUCUUUAACUGACGCUGAGGCGCGAAAGCGUGGGGAGCAAGCAGGAUUAGAUACCCGCGUAGUCCCUGUCUCUUAUAC